UGUUAAAAACUGCAAAUCUUCUAACACUGCCGGUGGUGGUGUGAAUUCCGGACGCUCCCCAGUGGCUAUCAUCGACACAGCUACAAUAGAUGAGCAGCAUAGCGAGCAGAAACAAAACUGUAGUCACCGAACGAGGUCGAACUCACAGCCGUGUCAUUGUUCGCCGUAUGAUUGUGUUCAGCACCCAUCAUCCACCGUAUAGUGCAAUAAGUGCCUUUUUCGAUUCAAUAGAGUCCAUCUCUAGAUCCAGCCAUUCGGAAUCGCUAGAAAAUCCGUUGGCGCCGCUGAACAGCUUGAGGCUACUGGCGAAGCCGGACCUGAAUCGGCACAAAGUUAUGAACUUUCCUUAGAAGUUUGUACACAUGCUUUGAUCCGUAAGUUUGAUCAAUUUGAUCUAAUUGAAUUAUUUAGAACCUAACGAAUGAAUUGAAAACCUAAAAUUAAAAUCCUAAUCUAUCCUUAAAUUGUAUAUACAUGCCUUACUUCUAAAUUAAAAACUGAAUUCCAUGCCUUUGUUAGGAUAAAUUUCGUUCACCCGAAACACUUGUUGCGAGUCGUGGUUUCUACGAUAAGGCAUAAAAUACUGAAUGUAAGUUCGACAAUUUAGGUUUAUAAUUCUAACAACUCAAAUAAUGAAAUAUUUAAUAAAUUACAGCUUUAAGCUGCCAUUGUUCUGGACUGCUAACGGAAGUGUUUGAAUUGCCCCGAAACCCACCGAUCCGCAACAAAACUUAAAGAUUCAUUGAGUGAAUCUGUAGCUGCGCAGUAAGCGGCCAAGUAAGCAGUUAGAAGUGCUGCGAAGUAAGCAGCAGGAUGAAUUCCGUUCGCACUUGCGAAAACUGCCGCACCAGUGGCACGGUGGAACAGAUGGUCGGCUGCGACAUGUGCGACAUGUGGCUCCACCUGAAAUGUGCUGGUGUUACGACCGACAACGCAGAUCCCGACAAAAGCUGGCGCUGCGAACGAUGCCUACAUGAUGAGGCAACGGAACGGACCAGCCAUCGUAGCCGGAAGACCGGUAGGACGACAAGCAGCACCUCGGCCCAGCGGACAGAGUUGGCCCUACAGCUACUUGAGGAGGAAAAGGCGCUGAUCAAGAGGAAUCGUGAUCGAGAGGACGAGUUCCUCAAGAAGGAAGCGGAAAUGCAAAGGAAGAGAGCGGAGGAAGAUGCCAAGCUGCUGAAGCAGAAACAUGACCUGUUGAAGUCAUUGGAGGACGGGAAUGGUAGCAUCAGAAGCGGAAUCAGUAGCAACGCGAGUCGAAGAAGGGUACAGGAAUGGCUCGGCGCUAAUAGUGGCGGUUUGGUGCCGGUAACUGACCAGCCACAGAUGUCUGGACCUACCGCCCAACUAUCCGCUACUCCAUCGGAGAUAUCAGCACUUCCCAUUAAGCCACCACGGAGGUCCGGUGCCGACGUCCUUCUCAGCCAAGAUGCAGAGGGGAGUACCAUCGCUCCCAAAUCAACGUCAACACCACAAAAAACCUUAAGUACACCAUUAAUUCUCUCUAACACACCAGUCCCUCCAAUGGUUGUGCCCUCUCAAGUGGCCACCAGUGCUUCAAAUGCAAAGUGGGGUGGGUACUACCCGGGGAUCAAUGUCUUUUCAUCGUCCGCCCUGCCGACGAUCCCUGAACAACAACCGAGCGUGACAAAUAUCGCUACAACAAAUGCACCUCUCGGGAGUUACGCUGCUUCACAAGCGAUUCCCCCUUUGGUUGGGAGCCCCGCUAAUCAGUAUCCCCCCAUAUAUCCUACUAGUUCAAAAUUUCCAAUUGCUUCUGGGUAUGAAAGUAUGUCAACCGGACAGACAGUAUCAGUCAAUGCUUCCAGUUCACCGUUUGUGUCAGUGCCAGCUAAAUCGUUCGGGUUUACGCCAAGUGUAGUGACAACGAGUUCCUGGUUGAAGUCGGGUGUGUCUUGCCCAGGUCAGUUGAACGAACCUCAGCCUAUUCGAGUAGCACCAGCGUGUACAGCAGGGGUGGGCGUACAAACACAGAUUGGCCAACGAAUGGAUGGCAGAUCAAGUCCAGUGGUUACAGCAGCAAACGUGAGUAAUUCGGAUGUACAUCAGACCAGCAGAUCACGGUACCUUGCGCCAUCCGGCGUGCAUCAGCUGAAUGAGCCGUUUCAACCUGUGUCAUCCGGUGUGCAGCAGCCAAAUGUGUCAUUUCUUCCCGCGCCAUCCGGUGCUCAGCAGUUCAACGUGUCUUUUCAAUCAGCGCCAACCGGCGUACAAAUGGCGGCGCGACAAGUGAUGCCGCGCGAAUUACCGACGUUCUCUGGCGACCCACAAGACUGGCCGUUGUUCUCUAGUUCAUUUUACACCUCAACAGCGGCUUGUGGAUACACGGAUGUGGAGAAUCUGGCUAGAUUACAACGUUGCUUGAAGGGACAUGCGCUUGAUUCGGUGAAGAGCCGUCUCUUGUUACCACAGUCAGUGCCACACGUGAUGGAGACACUACGGAUGCUGUAUGGACGACCGGAGAUCUUAAUCCACUCCCUGCUGCAAAAAUUGCGAAGUGUACCGUCACCAAAAGCUGAGAACUUGCAGUCAAUCAUCACCUACGGGAUGGCCGUACGUAAUCUGGUCGACCAUAUGCAUGUUGCAGAUCUAGUGGAGCACUUGCGCAACCCAAUGCUGGUGCACGAGCUAGUCGAGAGGCUGCCACCACAAAUGCGAAUGCAAUGGUCUUGGUACAAACGCUCAAUUCCGGACGUCAACCUGGCGACGUUCGGUGAUUUCAUGUCGGAGUUGGUGAAGACAGCGACUGAUGUUACGAUUCCCAGAGAUACUUUAAUGCAGCAGGGCAGGUCUGUCAAUACGGGACGAGAGAAGCAAAAUCUAUACGUCCACACGAAGGCUGAUAGUGGUGAAACAACAGCAAAGACGAAGAACAAGACGAAGUCUGCAAAGGAACCAGAUUCCUCAAAGAGAUCGUGCGCUUACUGUUCAGACGACGGUCAUGAAGUAGCACGAUGUCCUCAGUUCAAGGCGUUAGAUCUGGAUGGGAGAUGGAAGGCGAUACGAUCGAAGGGGCUUUGCAGAACCUGCUUGAUUCCGCACCUCAAGUGGCCGUGCCGUUCGAGCAAGGAGUGUGGCGUAGAUGGUUGCCGUUUUCGUCACAAUGCAUUGCUACAUUCACGGUCAGCGACAGAGUCAGCCGCUGCUCAUCCGAGGCCCAGUGAAAACGUCGCGCGACAGAAUCAUCAUUCUGCGACGAAAAUUUCACUAUUUCGCUAUCUACCAGUAACGUUAGAAGCGAAUGGAAGGAAGGUAGAAACUUUCGCGUUUCUGGACGAUGGAAGUGAGUCCACAUUGAUGGAGGCCGGACUCGCUGAGGAGCUGGGCAUCGUCGGGCCCGAAGAAUCUCUUUGGCUUGCCUGGACCGGAAACAUAUCUCGGGAAGAGAAGGGUUCACAACGGAUCUCAGUGGCAAUCUCGGGAGCUGGACUUAAGAGUCAAUUCCAGCUGAACAACGUACGUACGGUCCAGAAGUUGAAACUACAAGGUCAAUCGUUCCAGUACACCGAGCUUCAAAUGAUCUAUCCACAUCUCAGAGGACUACCGCUACAUAGUUACUCAGAGGCAGUACCGAGAAUUAUUAUCGGUAUCGAACACGCACAGAUGCUUACUACCCUAAAAGUGCGAGAAGGCAGAGCCAACGAACCCGUUGCGGCGAAGACGAGGCUUGGCUGGUGCGUGUACGGUAAACAAGUCGACGGUAGCGAUGCUGUAACGCGGCUGCAUGUGCAUUCAGAGGAACACGGGAACCGUGAGUUGCAUGAGCUGAUGAGGCAGUACUUCAGCAUCGAGGAGGCAGCGGUAGCUACUCCGUUGGAGUCGGAAGAGGACAGACGGGCCCGAAAAAUUCUGGAGAGAACAACAAGAAGGACUAACGGUUGCUUCGAAACUGGGCUUCUAUGGAAGUAUGACCGACCGUCGUUUCCAAACAGCUAUCCACUUGCAGUGCGUAGAAUGCAGUCAUUGGAGAAGCGGCUGGCCAAAGAAACUGGUCUCAAAGAACGAGUGAAUGAUCAGAUAGCAGAGUACGUGUCAAAGGGAUACGCCCACCGAAUAACACAAGAGGAAGUUGAGACAACAAAUCCAGAUCGUGUGUGGUACCUACCGCUGGGCAUCGUGAGGAACCCGAAGAAGCCGGAGAAAAUCCGUCUGAUUUGGGAUGCGGCAGCUCGGGUAAAUGGCGUUUCGUUCAACGACAUGCUCAUCAAAGGGCCAGACAUGCUGACGUCACUGUUCACAGUUCUACUACGGUUCCGUCAGCGAUCAGUUGCCGUAUGUGGAGACAUACGGGAAAUGUUCCACCAAGUUAGGAUCAUCCCUCAAGACAAGCAGUCGCAGCGGUUCCUCUAUCGAGAUCAUCCAGAUCAGCACCCUCAGGUCUUCGUUAUGGACGUGGCAACGUUCGGUGCGACGUGCUCGCCGUGCUCCGCACAGUUCGUUAAAAACACCAACGCCCAGGACUUCGCAGCGCAAUUUCCGAGAGCUGCAGAGGCGAUUGUCAAUGCCCAUUAUGUCGAUGACUACCUUGACAGUGUAGAUACGAUCGACGAAGCGGUUGAAUUGGUGAAGGAUGUAAAGUUUGUUCACGCUCAAGGUGGAUUCGACAUCCGGAACUUCUCAUCCAACUCGGCUGAAGUGAUACAACGUCUGGGCGAAACCGAGAACGUGAAGGACAAAUCAAUGGUUCUGGAUAAAUUUUCGGACACGGAGCGUGUUUUGGGGAUGGUAUGGAGACCAGCGGUCGACCUAUUCACCUUCGAUACCACUCUGAAAGAUGAUCUUACGAAGCUACUGGUAGAAGGAAACACGCCCACGAAACGGCAGGUGUUGAGGCUCGUUAUGUCGCUGUUUGACCCUUACGGGUUUAUCGCCCACUUUAUCAUUCACGGCAAGAUCCUCAUGCAGCACAUCUGGAGAUCUGGCACAGACUGGGAUGAAAAGAUUGUGGAUGAACUACACGAUUUGUGGAACGACUGGACACGUCUUCUGAAGGAAUUGGGCGAAGUGGAGGUUCCCCGCUGUUUCUUCGGUGCGACAAAUAGUAAGCUGCACAGCGGGAUACAACUUCACGUGUUCGUCGAUGCGAGCGAACUAGCGUAUGCUUGUGUUGCAUAUUUGCGUAUCGUCCACGAUACGGAAGUGCGAUGCGUGUUAGUAGCAGCGAAGACAAAGGUGGCGCCGCUUAAACCGCUCUCCAUCCCUCGCUUAGAGUUGCAAGCCGGUCUAAUAGGUAGCCGGUUGCUGAACAACAUCUGUACUGCCUUGGAUCUGCCCAUAGAAAAGCGGUACAUUUGGACAGAUUCCAGAACAUCUCUCUCGUGGGUUUGCUCGGAUAGCAGGCGCUAUCAUCCAUACGUAGGUUUUCGUGUCGGCGAGAUUCUGAAUUCCUCUACUGUCGAUGAGUGGCACUACGUUCCGUCGAAACAGAACGUGGCUGACGACGCCACAAAGUGGGGAGUUGGACCUAGCUUCAGUGCGAGUAGUCGCUGGUACACGGGUCCGGAUUAUCUCUUCUUGCCGGAAAACGAAUGGCCAGAGCAGCCAGCGAAACAAUGGAAAACUGACGAGGAGCUACGUACCAGAUUUCAACAUCAUCGAGAAAUGCCACAACCUUUGAUUAACGUGAGUAGAUUCUCGAAUUGGAACCGCCUGUUACGCACGACGGCGUAUUUGCUACGCGCAGUGAAGUUGUUCCGAACGCGAGGCAAAUCGGGACCGCUGACCAGCGAGGAGUUGUUGCAGGCUGAAAAUUUGCUGUGGCGACAGGUGCAGUAUGAAGCUUUCCCGGACGAGUACUGUGUGCUGGAGUUCAACAAGGCGAAUCCAGAGAAGAAGCAGAAACGAAUCGAGAAGAGCAGUUCAUUGUACGAACAGUCGCCGUUUAUGGAUGACGUGGGCGUGAUAAGGAUGAAUAGCAGGAUUGGUGCUGCUCCUACCGUACCCUUUGGAGUAAAGUAUCCAAUUAUCUUGCCGAGGGAUCACACUCUAACAGCCCUUCUUGUCGAGAGUUACCACAGACGGUUUAAACAUCAGAACGGUGAAACGGUGUUCAACGAAAUACGUCAGCAGUUUCGAAUACCGAAGCUGCGCCCUCUGAUACAACGUGUCGCCCGGAACUGCCAGAGCUGCAGGCUUCGGAAGGCAACUCCGCGACCACCAAUAAUGGCACCACUUCCGAAGGUUCGGUUGACACCCCACAUCCGGGCGUUCAGCCACACCGGCGUCGACUACUUCGGCCCAAUCCUGGUAAAGCAAGGCCGUAGUUUAGUGAAACGCUGGGUAGCACUAUUCACGUGUCUUACUAUACGUGCGGUGCACCUGGAGAUAGUGCACAGCCUUUCGACACAAUCCUGUGUGAUGGCAAUCCGCCGAUUCGUUGCGCGCAGAGGAUCCCCGUCAGACCUUUACUCGGAUAACGGGACCUGUUUUCGUGGAGCUAGCAACCUGUUGACGGAGCAGAUGGAAGCCAUCCAUGAACACUGCGCUGUGACGUUUACCAAUGCCAGAACGAGCUGGCACUUCAAUCCCCCAUCUGCACCUCACAUGGGGGGCUGUUGGGAACGGAUGGUGCGUUCUGUGAAGGCAGCUAUGGGAGCCAUUUCAGAACAUAAUCGCCACCCAAGCGACGAGGUUCUGGAGACUGUAGUCUUGGAAGCCGAAGCGAUCGUGAACACACGACCGUUGACCUACGUACCACUCGAUGAUGAAGACCAGGAUGCAUUAACGCCGAACCACUUUCUGCUGUACGGCUCAAGUGGCGUGGUGCAACCACGAACUUCACUGGUGGCUGACGGCAGCACGCUACGGGACAGCUGGAAGCUCGCCCAGUAUUUAUCCGAUUUGUUUUGGGAACGCUGGGUACGUGAGUAUCUGCCGACGUUGGCAAGACGGACUAAAUGGUUUGAACCAGUGAAACCUUUGCAGCCUGGCGAUUUGGUAAUUGUUAUCGACGAGCAUAAACGUAAUGGAUGGAUACGAGGACGAGUCGUCGAGGUCGUACGAGGAAAGGAUGGUCAAGUCAGAAGUGCAGUCGUAAGAACCGUAGAAGGGAUGAUGAAACGACCAGUAUUGAAGCUGGCUUUGCUGGAUGUACGCGGUAAGCAGCCACAAGGUCCCCCGGAACCACACGGGAGGGGGGAUGUUAAAAACUGCAAAUCUUCUAACACUGCCGGUGGUGGUGUGAAUUCCGGACGCUCCCCAGUGGCUAUCAUCGACACAGCUACAAUAGAUGAGCAGCAUAGCGAGCAGAAACAAAACUGUAGUCACCGAACGAGGUCGAACUCACAGCCGUGUCAUUGUUCGCCGUAUGAUUGUGUUCAGCACCCAUCAUCCACCGUAUAGUGCAAUAAGUGCCUUUUUCGAUUCAAUAGAGUCCAUCUCUAGAUCCAGCCAUUCGGAAUCGCUAGAAAAUCCGUUGGCGCCGCUGAACAGCUUGAGGCUACUGGCGAAGCCGGACCUGAAUCGGCACAAAGUUAUGAACUUUCCUUAGAAGUUUGUACACAUGCUUUGAUCCGAUAAAUUUCGUUCACCCGAAACACUUGUUGCGAGUCGUGGUUUCUACGAUAAGGCAUAAAAUACUGAAUGUAAGUUCGACAAUUUAGGUUUAUAAUUCUAACAACUCAAAUAAUGAAAUAUUUAAUAAAUUACAGCUUUAAGCUGCCAUUGUUCUGGACUGCUAACGGAAGUGUUUGAAUUGCCCCGAAACCCACCGAUCCGCAACAGG